UACGGAGGGUGCGAGCGUUAUUCGGAAUUACUGGGCGUAAAGCGCGCGUAGGCGGCAGGGCAAGUCUGGUGUGAAAGCCCGGGGCUCAACCCGGGAAGUGCAUUGGAAACUGCUCUGCUUGAGUACCGGAGAGGAAGGGGGAAUUCCCGGUGUAGCGGUGAAAUGCGUAGAUAUCGGGAGGAAUACCAGUGGCGAAGGCGGCCUUCUGGACGGUUACUGACGCUGAGACGCGAAAGCGUGGGGAGCAAACAGG
rnacentral:rRNA from 1 species